rnacentral:lncRNA from 1 species
AAUCCUUUUGUGUCGAUUCCAACCAUAUCUUGGAUCCUGCCAGAUCCUGCCAGAUCCUGCCCUAAGAGGGAAGCUCAUUACCCUCUCGCUCCUAGGAGGGGACAUUCCUUCUGAAAAGACAGGAGCAACUAGCAGCUUAAUUUUGGGAGUCUGAUGCAAGCACAUCACAAGUGGGAGAAGAUUCACUCAGGGGAAGGGAGGAAGGAUUGAGGUCUGUCCACUCUGCACACACUCUCUGUAACUUUCUCCGCGGUGUUUCCUCCAAGACUCCACUGUAAAGCACUGUGGCCGACAUUGUACCAAUUUAUAAUCCUUGAGACUACUCACAAAAUUUGCAUGAGGGUUCUUUCUUCUUCCUAUUUUCUUCCUUCCAGGAACUGGCUGGGCUUUAAUAAUUAGCUUAAUGAGGUGGUGAUUACUACUUGGUCCUUUUAUUGUUUAGAUAAGAUAGAAUCAGAUAAACAAGAGAAACACAAAUACAAAGAAUGCCAGUGUUGGUGAGAUGUUUAUGCCACAGGAUCUUCAACACAGUUUGGGAGGCUUAUCAGAUGGUCCUUCCCAAGGAAUGCAGCUACAUUGCCCCCUAGUGGCUGUAAUGCCUAAAAGAGACCUAAUUGUUGAAGCCCCUCAGUACAAAAAAAAUGCAGCAUUUCCCUUGGGUCAACAAGCCCUUAGUGAAAGUCCUGUAAGAUCCAAAUACUCUUCCCAGGCACAGGUACUACCAAGAUGAGCAAGAUGUGGUCCCUGUCAUCAAGAAACUCACAACUGGGUUGGCCAGUGGCGCAGCGGUUAAGUUCACAUGUUCCGCUUCAGCAGCCUGGGGUUCACUGGUUUGGAUCCCGGGUGCGCACAUGGCACCCCUUGGCAAGCCAUGCUGUGGUAGGCGUCCCACAUAUAAAGUAGAGGAAGAUGGGCACGGAUGUUAGCUCAGGACUAGUCUUCCCCAGCAAAAAGAGGAGGAUUGGCAGCAGUCAGCUCAGGGCUAAUCUUCCUCAAAAAAAAAAAAGACAGACAGAAACUUACAAUCUAGUGAAGCAGACAGACUGCCCCUCGCUCCCACCCCAAUCAUUUCAAUGCAACACAUGGCUUCGACAGUUAAAAACAAUACAUGCGUGCCUUAGACAUUUUAUUUUGACUUAAAAAACAUGCACUUCAAUAAUCUUUGAUGUAGGGCUAAAAGCUUCUAUUGUGCUAUAAGUAUGCUGAUGGAGUUCCAAAAACCACUCUCAUAAGGCCUCCUGAACAAUUUCCAGUAUGGGGUUUUAUUUUAAAUUUUUUUUCCUGAGAAAGAUUCGCCCUGAGCUUACACCUAUGCCAAUCUUCCUCUAUUUUGUAUGUCGGUUGCUGCUGCAACACGGCUUGAUGAGUGGUGUAGGUCCGCACCUGGGGU